CCUACGGUGGGCAGCAGUGGGGAAUAUUGGACAAUGGGCGAAAGCCUGAUCCAGCCAUGCCGCGUGUGUGAAGAAGGCCUUCGGGUUGUAAAGCACUUUCAGUGGGGAAGAAAGCCUUGGGGCUAAUACCCUCGAGGAAGGACAUCACCCACAGAAGAAGCACCGGCUAACUCCGUGCCAGCAGCCGCGGUAAUACGGAGGGUGCGAGCGUUAAUCGGAAUUACUGGGCGUAAAGCGCGCGUAGGCGGUCUGAUAAGCCGGUUGUGAAAGCCCCGGGCUCAACCUGGGAACGGCAUCCGGAACGGGCAGGCUAGAGUGCAGGAGAGGAAGGUAGAAUUCCCGGUGUAGCGGUGAAAUGCGUAGAGAUCGGGAGGAAUACCAGUGGCGAAGGCGGCCUUCUGGACUGACACUGACGCUGAGGUGCGAAAGCGUGGGUAGCAAACAGGAUUAGAUACCCUAGUAGUC
rnacentral:rRNA from 1 species